rnacentral:snRNA from 1 species
CUAACUUCUCUGCCUUUUGGCUAAGAUCAAGUAUAGUAUCUGUUUUUAUCUGAUUUCCUUAGGUCCACCAAUUACCCACUGAUAGAACCAAGAACCACAU